UACGGAGGGGGCUAGCGUUGUUCGGAAUUACUGGGCGUAAAGCGCGCGUAGGCGGCUUUGUAAGUUAGAGGUGAAAGCCCGGAGCUCAACUCCGGAACUGCCUUUAAAACUGCAUCGCUUGAAUCAUGGAGAGGUGAGUGGAAUUCCGAGUGUAGAGGUGAAAUUCGUAGAUAUUCGCAAGAACACCAGUGGCGAAGGCGGCUCACUGGCCCGAUACUGACGCUGAGGCACGAAAGCGUGGGGAGCAAACAGG
rnacentral:rRNA from 1 species